AACUAACGCUGGCGGCGUGCCUAACACAUGCAAGUCGAACGAGAAAGUUGGCUUCGGCCGAUGAGUAAAGUGGCGCACGGGUGAGUAACGCGUGGAUAAUCUGCCCUUUAGUUUGGAAUAACGUACCGAAAGGUGCGCUAAUACCGGAUAAUACUGAAUGACUACUGUCGUUUAGUCAAAGAAGGCUUCUGUUUUCAUGCUUUUGCUGAAGGAUGAGUCCGCGUACCAUUAGCUAGUUGGUAGGGUAAUGGCCUACCAAGGCGACGAUGGUUAGCCGGUCUGAGAGGAUGAUCAGCCACACUGGAACUGAGACACGGUCCAGACUCCUACGGGAGGCAGCAGUGAGGAAUAUUGCGCAAUGGGGGCAACCCUGACGCAGCAACGCCGCGUGAGUGAGGAAGGUUUUCGGACCGUAAAGCUCUGUCGAGCGGGAAGAAAUGCAUGGUGGCUAAUAUCCAUCAUGCUUGACGGUACCGCUAAAGGAAGCACCGGCUAACUCCGUGCCAGCCGCCGCUGUAAAAC
rnacentral:rRNA from 1 species